UACAGGGGGUGCAAGCGUUGUUCGGAAUUACUGGGCGUAAAGGGAGCGUAGGCGGAACUACAAGACAGAGGUCAAAUCUCCGGGCUCAACCUGGAACUUGCCUUUGUGACUGUGGUUCUUGAGUAUGGUAGAGGUCAGUGGAAUUUCCGGUGUAGCGGUGGAAUGCGUAGAGAUCGGAAAGAACACCAGAGGCGAAGGCGACUGACUGGACCAAUACUGACGCUGAGGCUCGAAAGUGCGGGGAGCAAACAGG
rnacentral:rRNA from 1 species